rnacentral:rRNA from 1 species
CCGGCGACCGGCGCACGGGUGAGUAACACGUAUGGAACCUGCCCGCAGCAGGGGGAUAAGCGGAAGAAAUUCCGUCUAAUACCGCGUAACAACGUUGGGAGGCAUCUCCCGAUGUUUAAGGAUUUAUCGGCUGCGGAUGGCCAUGCGGCGCAUUAGCUAGUCGGCGGGGUAACGGCCCACCGAGGCGACGAUGCGUAGGGGUUCUGAGAGGAAGGUCCCCCACACUGGUACUGAGACACGGACCAGACUCCUACGGAAGGCAGCAG